AGAGUUUGAUCAUGGCUCAGAUUGAACGCUGGCGGCAGGCCUAACACAUGCAAGUCGAGCGGAAACGAGUUAUCUGAACCUUCGGGGAACGAUAACGGCGUCGAGCGGCGGACGGGUGAGUAAUGCCUAGGAAAUUGCCCUGAUGUGGGGGAUAACCAUUGGAAACGAUGGCUAAUACCGCAUAAUACCUACGGGUCAAAGAGGGGGACCUUCGGGCCUCUCGCGUCAGGAUAUGCCUAGGUGGGAUUAGCUAGUUGGUGAGGUAAUGGCUCACCAAGGCGACGAUCCCUAGCUGGUCUGAGAGGAUGAUCAGCCACACUGGAACUGAGACACGGUCCAGACUCCUACGGGAGGCAGCAGUGGGGAAUAUUGCACAAUGGGCGCAAGCCUGAUGCAGCCAUGCCGCGUGUGUGAAGAAGGCCUUCGGGUUGUAAAGCACUUUCAGUCGUGAGGAAGGUAGUGUAGUUAAUAGCUGCAUUAUUUGACGUUAGCGACAGAAGAAGCACCGGCUAACUCCGUGCCAGCAGCCGCGGUAAUA
rnacentral:rRNA from 1 species